rnacentral:rRNA from 1 species
GAUGAACGCUGGCGGCGUGCCUAAUACAUGCAAGUCGAGCGAACGGACGAGAAGCUUGCUUCUCUGACGUUAGCGGCGGACGGGUGAGUAACACGUGGAUAACCUACCUAUAAGACUGGGAUAACUUCGGGAAACCGUAGCUAAUACCGGAUAAUAUUUUGAACCGCAUGGUUCAAUAGUGAAAGACGGUCUUGCUGUCACUUAUAGAUGGAUCCGCGCUGCAUUAGCUAGUUGGUAAGGUAACGGCUUACCAAGGCAACGAUGCCUAGCCGACCUGAGAGGGUGGUCGGGCAAAAUGGAACUGAGAAAAGGGCCCGACUCCUAAGGGAGGGAACAGGAGGGAAACCUCCGGAAUGGGCGAAAGCCUGACGGAGCAACGCCGCGUGAGUGAUGAAGGUCUUCGGAUCGUAAAACUCUGUUAUUAGGGAAGAACAUAUGUGUAAGUAACUAUGCACGUCUUGACGGUACCUAAUCAGAAAGCCACGGCUAACUACGUG